CGAACGAGAACCUCAAUGCUUGCAUUGAGGGGACAGUGGCGAACGGGUGAGUACACGUGGAUAAUCUACCUCCGGGAUGGGGGCAACUACUGGAAACGGUGGCUAAUACCGAAUAACAUGAUUUUUACAUAAGUAAGAAUCAUUAAAAGACGGGGAUCCUUCGGGACCUGUUGCCUGGAGAUGAGUCCGCGGCCCAUUAGCUUGUUGGUGGGGUAAAGGCCUACCAAGGCGACGAUGCGUAGCCGGCCUGAGAGGGUGAACGGCCACACUGGAACUGAGACAAGGUCCAGUCUCCUACGGGAGGCAGCAGUUAAGAAUCUUGCGCAAUGGGCGAAAGCCUGACGCAGCGACGCCGCGUGGACGAUGAAGGCCUUCGGGUUGUAAAGUCCAGUAAGCAGGGAAGAAUAAGCAAAGGGUAAUAUUCUUUGUGAUGACGGUACCUGUAUAAGAAGCACCGGCUAACUCCGUGCCAGCAGGCGCGGUAAUACGUAGGGAGCGAGCGUUACUCGGAUUUACUGGGCGUAAAGGGCGCGUAGGCGGUUCGGUAAGUCUGAUGUGAAAGCCCACGACUCAAUCGUGGAAGUGCAUUGGAUACUGCCAGGCUAGAAUGCAGGAGGGGUAAGCGGAAUUCCAGGUGUAGAGGUGAAAUUCGUAGAUAUCUGGAGGAACAACGGCGGCGAAGGCGGCUCACUGGACUGUUACUGACGCUGAGGCGCGAAAGCGUGGGGAGCAAACGGGAUUAGAUACCCCGGUAGUCCACACCGUAAACGAUGAGUACUAGGUGUGGGAGGCAUCCUACCCUUUCAGUGACGCAGCUAACGCAUUAAGUACACCGCCUGGGGAGUACGGUCGCAAGACUGAAACUCAAAGGAAUUGACGGGGGCCCGCACAAGCGGUGGAGGAUGUGGUUUAAUUCGAUGCAACGCGAAAAACCUUACCUGGGCUUGACAUCCCGCGCUACCCUAGGAAACUAGGGGUUCUCUUCGGAGACGCGGUGACAGGUGUUGCAUGGCUGUCGUCAGCUCGUGUCGUGAGAUGUUGGGUUAAGUCCCGCAACGAGCGCAACCCUCGCCAAUAGUUGCCAGCAUUAAGUUGGGCACUCUAGUGGAACCGCUUGCCGAUAAGGCAGAGGAAGGUGGGGAUGACGUCAAGUCCGCAUGGCCCUUAUAUCCAGGGCUACACACGUCCUACAAUGGCCAGUACAAAGUGCCGCUAACUCGCAAGAGAGUGCUAAUCACAAAAAGCUGGUCUCAGUUCGGAUUGGAGUCUGCAACUCGACUCCAUGAAGUUGGAAUCGCUAGUAAUCGCGGAUCAGCAUGCCGCGGUGAAUACGUUCCCGGGCCUUGUACACACCGCCCGUCACGCCAUGGAAGUUGGGGUUGCCUGAAGAGGCUGAGCUAACCCGCAAGGGAGGCAGGUUUCUAUGG
rnacentral:rRNA from 1 species